UAAUCUUUAUGAUCCUAUCUUUUAUUUUUUGUACGUUUCUGUCCGUUGCAACGCUGGAAAGUGUUAAUAGUAGCGCCAUCUUGCUUGGCUCAUGCAGUCCCCCGGAGCUCAUCUUUGAUCCUCACUUUAGAGAGAAAAUUUAGAGUCUGGGUUGAUAGGUGGUCUUCAGGACAGCAUGUGGUGACAGGGGGUGACUGAAAAAUCCCAGCUUGUGUUGGCGGGCGGGACGCGAACCCUUGUCCUCCACUCAGCCACCGCCUCGCCAUCUCUCUCUCUUUCUCUAUCGUUUGUCUUGUAAUAAUUAUCACAUUUUCUUUCUUUUCUGUUCAUCAUUUUUUUUCCUUCGUUUUAUCCUACAUCACUUUUUUUCUUUCACUUUGAUCCGUCCUCCUUUUUUUUCCUCUUUGUUUCUUUUUAUUUUUACGUCAUUCGUAGUUUCCUUCUCUUCUUCGCAUCCACCUUUUCCUCUUUCAAUUUCCGUCGCUUUUCGCAUCACACUUUUCCCCGUCACUCCGUCUCGCUUCAUCGCGUCACGUUAGUCUGUCUCUUUCAGUCUCUCCGUGUCGUGUGCCGCGUUCAUCACUCCAAACGAUUUAUAUAUAUAUGCAUCGUCAAUAUAUUUUUUUAUAUAUAUAUACGUAUCUACCAUUACAGAACAGAUUAAAUGCUCUCUUAUAGCGAUAUACGAAUAAAAAUCUACGUUAUUACUCUCCUCCAAGGCAAUACUGACAAAAUAUUCUCGUUAUUAUUUUUAAACAACGAAAUAUGGAUGGAAAAGUUUGGUUAUUACUCUUUCAACAAAAUUCAGAUAUACAAAAUUGGUUAUUAUUCUUUCAACAAGGUACGGGUAAAUUAUUUUGUUUUUAAGUUUUCAACAUCAAAAUGUAAAUAAAAUACGGUUCAGGUCUAUUGUGUCAAGUUCAUAUUUUUGUUCUUUUUCGCUCAUAAUUCACAAAGUUGCGUAUAUAUUUACUCUUCUAUAGGUUUAUAUACUCCAAAUUUCGAAUACUAAAUAAUGAUACCAAAGUCCAUAUUCGCAUGCAUUUUAUAUACUCCAAAUUUCGAAUACUAAAUAAUGAUACCAAGGUCCAUAUUCGCAUGCAUUUUAUAUACUCCAAAUUUCGAAUACUAAAUAAUGAUACCAAGGUCCAUAUUCGCAUGCAUUUUAUAUACUCCAAAUUUCGAAUACUAAAUAAUGAUACCAAGGUCCAUAUUCGCAUGCAUUUUAUAUACUCCAAAUUUCGAAUACUAAAUAAUGAUACCAAGGUCCAUAUUCGCAUGCAUUUUAUAUACUCCAAAUUUCGAAUACUAAAUAAUGAUACCAAGGUCCAUAUUCGCAUGCAUUUUAUAUACUCCAAAUUUCGAAUACUAAAUAAUGAUACCAAAGUCCAUAUUCGCAUGCAUUUUAUAUACUCCAAAUUUCGAAUACUAAAUAAUGAUACCAAGGUCCAUAUUCUCAUGCAUUUUAUAUACUCCAAAUUUCGAAUACUAAAUAAUGAUACCAAAGUCCAUAUUCGCA